UCUAAUAUGGCAGAUUAGUGCAAUGGAUUUAAAUUCCAUAAAUAAAGUUAUUCUUUUCUUAGAA
rnacentral:tRNA from 1 species